rnacentral:rRNA from 1 species
GUAGGGGGCAAGCGUUGUCCGGAUUUAUUGGGCGUAAAGAGCGUGUAGGCGGCCGGAUAGGUCCGUUGUGAAAACUCGAGGCUCAACCUCGAGAUGCCGAUGGAAACCAUCUGGCUAGAGUCCGGAAGAGGAGAGUGGAAUUCCCGGUGUAGCGGUGAAAUGCGCAGAUAUCGGGAAGAACACCCGUGGCUAAGGCGGCUCUCUAGUACGGUACUGACGCUGAGACGCGAAAGCGUGGGGAGCGAACAGGAUUAGAUACCCUGGUAGUCCACGCCGUAAACGAUGGGUGCUAGGUGUGGGAGGUGUCGACUCCUUCCGUGCCGAAGCUAACGCAUUAAGCACCCCGCCUGGGGAGUACGGCCGCAAGGCUAAA